CAAGGGAUGCUCAAGUACCAAAGAAUAAAUUUAACAACAUAUCAUGGGUCCGAGUACAUGUUUAAUAAUAUAACAUAACAACCUUAAAAAAUUAGUGUAUGAAUAAUAUAAACAAUUUGAUUGAUACAAAUUUAUUUUAUUUUUUGUAGUGUCCUCGCCAAGAAAAUGGUAUAAAUUGCGGGUACUUUGUGAUGAGGUUUAUCACAUAGAUUCUCAUUUCAAAACUAAAUGAGAUUUCCAAAGCUGUACAUUGAUGGUUUCAAGUGUGUGACAUACUCAAAAGAUAAACUAAGAGAAAUCCAAGAAGAAUGAUGUCAGUUCAUGAUCAGCCUAAAAGUUAUAUGAUAUUUUUAUGAUAAGGUGGUGGAGAGUGAACAAAAUUUGGAAAUGAAUAAUGAUUUGCCUGCUUGUUUUGGAUAAAAAUGUUGAGACGAUCAAGAAGAUAGACGAAGACUACUGCAU